rnacentral:lncRNA from 1 species
AUUAUUCAUCAUUUUCAAGUUAUAUUCAAACAUGGUGCUUAUUUUCUGAGAAGAUGAUUCUGAAGAAUAUGACUCAAAGUUGGAUUUAGAAGAAUUAUUAAAUUUAGAAACAGACAGUGAAAGAAGAUGUUAUGCAAUGAAAAUGCUGGAAAAUCCCAAGCAACCUCCCGCUGUUGUGGAGGAAUUUGUUGUUCAGUUAUUGAAGCAAGCUAGUACACUGUAAUAGUGUGGUUUACCAGUGGCACUGUAACAGUUAUGAUUAUGAAGUCCUGUAACAGUGUAUGUAGCACCAGUGGUAACAGCAAUAUAGCUUUGGUGUACACACAUGCUUACACACACACAUACACAUAAUAUAUAUACAUACCAAAUUGGCAUGUGUAUGGUAGGGGAUUGUAUAGCCAAUUUAUUUCCAGGGGCUUUUUGUAUAUGGUGUACAAGCUAUAUAUGCAACAAGUUUGACACCCUGCAGUAUUAUUCUUAGAUGUAGUUGCAGCUCCCUAAUUGGUGACCCACUCCUACGACCCAUUUCAAGUUGUUAUCUUUCCUCAUUUGUCUUUUAAUAACAUCCAUACCUCUUUGAAAUUAACACGUCUUGCUCUCUUUUUCUCUGAGUCGAUGAGUGAAGAAGGCAUCUCUCUAUGGAGUUUGGGACAACAGAAGGAAUACAUGCAUUACAUAUAUGCUUGUGUAUAAAUGUAUUUAGGGGUAUAUCAGGGUGGUGAGAUGGAGCAUUUGGUCACUAGCAAGAGUUAGGUUUUAUUUUUUAAAAUUAGACUGUAUUUUGUAGUUCUUCCCCGCAAAAACAUACCAAGGUUAUACCAAAAAGAAAAUUCUUGUAUAUGUUCUAAUGACUUCUUUAUAUUUAAAAAUGCCACUGUCCCCGCUAAAAAAAAUCAACAAAAAUCAACAAAUAUGAAACAAUGUACCAUACAUUUUGAGGUGAAAAAAAUGUAUCCUGUAACUAAGUUUCUCUCUCUUAUGCUCUUAUAGAUCUCUCAGUUCUAAUGUUGUGGAUUAUUGAGAACACAUUUGAAUUUAAAUGUUGAAGAAGAAAUGAAUUUCCUCAAAGUGUUAAUAAAAUAACAUUAAAUAAA